rnacentral:rRNA from 1 species
GAGUUUUGNUCAUGGCUCAGGAUGAACGCUGGCGGCGUGCUUAACACAUGCAAGUCGAACGAACCUUCGGGUUAGUGGCGGACGGGUGAGUAACGCGUGGGAAUCUGCCCUCAGGAGGGGGAUAACGGCCGGAAACGGCCGCUAAUACCCCAUAUGCCGAGAGGUGAAAUGAAUUUCSCCUGAGGAUGAGCCCGCGUCUGAUUAGCUAGUUGGUGUGGUAAUGGCGCACCAAGGSGACGAUCAGUAGCUGGUCUGAGAGGAUGAUCAGCCACACUGGGACUGAGACACGGCCCAGACUCCUACGGGAGGCAGCAGUGGGGAAUUUUCCGCAAUGGGCGAAAGCCUGACGGAGCAACGCCGCGUGAGGGAUGAAGGCCUCUGGGCUGUAAACCUCUUUUCUCAAGGAAGAAGACAUGACGGUACUUGAGGAAUAAGCCACGGCUAAUUCCGUGCCAGCAGCCGCGGUAAUACGGGAGUGGCAAGCGUUAUCCGGAAUUAUUGGGCGUAAAGCGUCCGCAGGCGGCCUUGUAAGUCUGUCGUUAAAGCGUGGAGCUUAACUCCAUUUCAGCGAUGGAAACUACAAGGCUUGAGUGUGGUAGGGGCAGAGGGAAUUCCCGGUGUAGCGGUGAAAUGSGUAGAUAUCGGGAAGAACACCAGUGSCGAAGGCGCUCUGCUGGGCCAUAACUGACGCUCAUGGACGAAAGCCAGGGGAGCGAAAGGGAUUAGAUACCCCUGUAGUCCUGGCCGUAAACGAUGAACACUAGGUGUCGGGGGAAUCGACCCCCUCGGUGUCGUAGCUAACGCGUUAAGUGUUCCGCCUGGGGAGUACGCACGCAAGUGUGAAACUCAAAGGAAUUGACGGGGGCCCGCACAAGCGGUGGAGUAUGUGGUUUAAUUCGAUGCAACGCGAAGAACCUUACCAGGGUUUGACAUCCUGCGAAUCCCUUGGAAACGAGGGAGUGCCUUCGGGAGCGCAGAGACAGGUGGUGCAUGGCUGUCGUCAGCUCGUGUCGUGAGAUGUUGGGUUAAGUCCCGCAACGAGCGCAACCCACGUCUUUAGUUGCCAGCAUUCAGUUGGGCCCUCCUASAGAGACCGCCCGGUGAUAAACCGGAGGAAGGUGUGGAUGACGUCWAGUCAUCAUGCCCCCUUACAUCCUGGGCUACACACGUACUACAAUGCUACGGACAAAGGGUUGCAAGCUCGCGAGAGUUAGCUAAUCCCAUAAACCGUGGCUCAGUUCAGAUCGUAGGCUGCAACUCGCCUACGUGAAGGAGGAAUCGCUAGUAAUCGCAGGUCAGCAUACUGCGGUGAAUACGUUCCCGGGCCUUGUACACACCGCCCGUCACACCAUGGAAGUUGGCCAUGCCCGAAGUCGUUACUCCAACCCUUGUGGAGGAGGACGCCGAAGGUGGGGCUGAUGACUGGGGUGAAGUCGUAACAAGGUAGCCGUACCGGAAGGUGCGGCUGGAUCACCUCCUAACAGGGAGACACAACUGAUCGUGAUGUCUGAGCGCCGACCAAGCGUAAGUUUGGGAAGCACAUUUGUCUCAGGCCACGGUCCUGUCAUCUCGAAGGUCGAUCGGUACCUCAUGGUGAGCCAUCAAAGCCAAGGACGACUCCAGAGAGCUCGCAAGAGCAGGAAGGAGAAAGCCGAGGAUGUUGUGAUGGACUCGUUUUCAGUUCCUAAACUUUGUCUAGGUCACCCCACCAAGGGUUUUGCCAGAUAUCUGCUGUUUCGGAUCCUGCCAGGGAGAUGAAGCUGAGGGUGUGUGGAGGAACCACUGUCAGAGUGAUUGUUCCUGGGCCAUUAGCUCACGUGGUUAGAGCGCACC